AGGAAGUAAAAGUCGUAACAAGGUUUCCGUAGGUGAACCUGCGGAAGGAUCAUUAAUGAAAUCGAACGUUCGGGUUGUUGCUGGUCUCUCUCUCUCUCUCUCUUUGGAGAAGGGGGGGGGGUUAUAACGUGCACGCCUCGAUUGUUGUUGUUCCAUCUUUCUUUUACACCUGUGCACGAUCUGUAGUUAGGGAUGAUCACGGGGCCGGCUUUGUCGGCGUCGAAUGCCCUGGCUAUGAACGGUUUAUUAUACACCUUGAUUUUGUUUUCAUGGAAUGUUUGUCCGCGUCGUAAACGGCGCGAAUGAGAUACAACUUUCAGCAACGGAUCUCUUGGCUCUCGCAUCGAUGAAGAACGCAGCGAAAUGCGAUAAGUAAUGUGAAUUGCAGAAUUCAGUGAAUCAUCGAAUCUUUGAACGCACCUUGCGCCCCUUGGUAUUCCGAGGGGCAUGCCUGUUUGAGUGUCAUGAAAUUCUCAACUCGCUUCGGUUUUGUUUCGGAGUGAAGUUGGAUUUGGAGUGUUUGCUGGCCCUGUUCGGCUCCUCUCAAAAGCAUGUGUAGCUCUUUUUUCUUGGCGGGAAAGUAUCUUUGACGUGAUAAUAAUUGUCUACGUCGUGGAGAAAGCCUUGAAUGGGGGAGAGCAUGAAGGGCGAGACCCGACUUUUAUAUUCGACCUCAAAUCAGGCAGGACUACCCGCUGAACUUAAGCAUAUCAA
rnacentral:rRNA from 1 species